rnacentral:rRNA from 1 species
GACGAACGCUGGCUUUGUGCUUAACACAUGCAAGUCGAACGGAAAGGCCCUGCUUUUGUGGGGUGCUCGAGUGGCGAACGGGUGAGUAACACGUGAGUAACCUGCCCUUGACUUUGGGAUAACUUCAGGAAACUGGGGCUAAUACCGGAUAGGAGCUCCUGCUGCAUGGUGGGGGUUGGAAAGUUUCGGCGGUUGGGGAUGGACUCGCGGCUUAUCAGCUUGUUGGUGGGGUAGUGGCUUACCAAGGCUUUGACGGGUAGCCGGCCUGAGAGGGUGACCGGCCACAUUGGGACUGAGAUACGGCCCAGACUCCUACGGGAGGCAGCAGUGGGGAAUAUUGCACAAUGGGCGGAAGCCUGAUGCAGCAACGCCGCGUGCGGGAUGACGGCCUUCGGGUUGUAAACCGCUUUCGCCUGUGACGAAGCGUGAGUGACGGUAAUGGGUAAAGAAGCACCGGCUAACUACGUGCCAGCAGCCGCGGUGAUACGUAGGGUGCGAGCGUUGUCCGGAUUUAUUGGGCGUAAAGGGCUCGUAGGUGGUUGAUCGCGUCGGAAGUGUAAUCUUGGGGCUUAACCCUGAGCGUGCUUUCGAUACGGGUUGACUUGAGGAAGGUAGGGGAGAAUGGAAUUCCUGGUGGAGCGGUGGAAUGCGCAGAUAUCAGGAGGAACACCAGUGGCGAAGGCGGUUCUCUGGGCCUUUCCUGACGCUGAGGAGCGAAAGCGUGGGGAGCGAACAGGCUUAGAUACCCUGGUAGUCCACGCUGUAAACGGUGGGUACUAGGUGUGGGGUCCAUUCCACGGGUUCCGUGCCGUAGCUAACGCUUUAAGUACCCCGCCUGGGGAGUACGGCCGCAAGGCUAAAACUCAAAGGAAUUGACGGGGCCCCGCACAAGCGGCGGAGCAUGCGGAUUAAUUCGAUGCAACGCGUAGAACCUUACCUGGGUUUGACAUGGAUCGGGAGUGCUCAGAGAUGGGUGUGCCUCUUUUGGGGUCGGUUCACAGGUGGUGCAUGGCUGUCGUCAGCUCGUGUCGUGAGAUGUUGGGUUAAGUCCCGCAACGAGCGCAACCCUUGUUCACUGUUGCCAGCACGUUAUGGUGGGGACUCAGUGGAGACCGCCGGGGUCAACUCGGAGGAAGGUGGGGAUGACGUCAAGUCAUCAUGCCCCUUAUGUCCAGGGCUUCACGCAUGCUACAAUGGCCGGUACAGAGAGUGGCGAGCCUGUGAGGGUGAGCGAAUCUCGGAAAGCCGGUCUCAGUUCGGAUUGGGGUCUGCAACUCGACCUCAUGAAGUCGGAGUCGCUAGUAAUCGCAGAUCAGCAACGCUGCGGUGAAUACGUUCCCGGGGCU